rnacentral:rRNA from 1 species
GACGAACGCUGGCGGCGUGCUUAACACAUGCAAGUCGAGCGGUAAGGCUCCUUCGGGAGUACACGAGCGGCGAACGGGUGAGUAACACGUGAGCAAUCUGCCCAUCUCUUUGGAAUAAGCGUUGGAAACGACGUCUAAUGCCGAAUACGACCUCCUUUCGCAUGAUCGGAGGUGGAAAGCUCCGGCGGAGAUGGAUGAGCUCGCGGCCUAUCAGUUAGUUGGUGAGGAACGGCCCACCAAGGCGACGACGGGUAGCCGGCCUGAGAGGGUGACCGGCCACACUGGGACUGAGACACGGCCCAGACUCCUACGGGAGGCAGCAGUGGGGAAUAUUGGACAAUGGGCAAAGCCUGAUCCAGCAACGCCGCGUGA